rnacentral:piRNA from 1 species
UGGCAGUUGAUAUGCUUUCUACCCUUGUCCUU